GUUUGGUGUGGCUGUAAGAAAUGUUCAAGACAUUUACGUGAAAGCAAUUGAAGAACAAUCAACUUUACAGAUUGAGCUCAUUAUGGAUUUAGAACAUAUCUGUCAGCUUUUUCUCAAUACCCUCAAAAGAUUUGAUUGUACAAAGAGGUUAAGAAAAUGGCUGAAUAUAAAAUUCAUGCAGGAUCCAAACAUGAGUGUACCUCUUAGACGAUUAACUUCCGAAGAUUGAUUAACUCGAAGAAAUACGUAAAAAACAAUAAAAUUCGCAAAAAUUGACCUGACAGAACUGGUGGAAAAGACUUCGUUGAAAGAUCUGUAUACCCUCAUGCAACAGUAUAAAGAUGAGCCUCCGUUUUAAAAGAAAUAGCCUUUACAUACAGAUAUCCACAAAAAAACAGAAUCACCUUAUAGGAAUAGUUAUGUAGCGAACUGUAUUUCUGAAAACUGUGCAAUUAUAACAAACUAAAUUUUAAAAUGGAUGCAAGCAUGUAUAUAACCAUGUAUAAUGUAAUUGAUAAUGUAGAUUAUCAAUAUAAAUAUAUUUCUGAAAACUGUGCAAUUAGAACAAAUUAAAUUUUAAAAUGGUUGAAAGCAUGUAUAUAACCAUGUAUAAUGUUAAUUGAUAAUAAAGAUUAUAAAUAUAAAAGUUCAAACAGACACUGCUGACAUGGCGUAGCACAGCAUUAACCAUGAAUAAUGUAACUGAUGAUGUAGAUUAUAAAUAUUUUUAUUAUUAAAUGUUCUAACAAACAUUGCUGACAUGGCAUAACAAAGCAAAAUUUUGAUAGUAUUGUGUAUUUAAUUGGGCUAUUCAUGCCAUAGCAGAAUAUGAUAAAACAUUUUAUUUUACUUUUUUAUUUUAUUUAAUUUACUAACCUUAAUUCGUUAUGAAAUCGAAAUACCUUAAUGAAUUCUAUGAAGUAGUUAUUCAAAUUUCUGUUUUUAAUGUAUGUUCGGAGCAGGGCUAUGCAAAUUUGAGUGAUUGUUUCUACUCUAUCUUACCGGACCUGAAAAACUGUCAUUAGACGGGAUAUAUCUACUUAUUUAGCGCACCAAUCUUAGUUUUCUGACUCAAAGGCAAUUAAUUUCUUCUAUAGAAUACAUUUUCAUAAUAACUAUUCGUUUUUUAUCCGAAAUGAUUAUCUAUAGCUUUUCUGAGAUUGGUUUUACUAUAAUUUUUGACUGACUCCGUGGUAAUCGCAUUCCAAUAUCAUUUUUAAAAUAGCCUUUUUGUUUGUUUGCUGUUUAAACACAAACUUUUGCUGUUCAGUUGCUUCUGUUUUCAAACUAAUUGUACCAAUUUUGUCAACUGCUUGGAAACAAAGUUUUCUACAUUUAAAAGAAAAAAAUGUAUCACGAAUGGUGUAAUAACAAGCAUCAUUUUAUAAUUUUAGAUAAUUACAAUUUAAAAGUGACAUUAUGUUCAUUUUAAAUUAACAUUGUCAUACUGAGCUGUAUUUGCUAUAAUAUCUGUUAAAAGAUCGAUUAAUAUAUAAAUGUACAACGGGGAUUGACCAAUAUUUGAUUAUGACAUAAGUAACAAUCGAUUUAUAAAGACCUCCAAACAACUAAUAUGCCUGCCAAACACUUUUUAUCAAAAAACGUUCUCGAGUAAUGUGGAUAAUUGAUUAUUUUUUUAAGUAUAUUGACAAAGUGAAUAUAACUACAUACUACAAAAUAUAAAGUGAAUAUAAUUAUAACUUCUUCCUGUACACUCUCCACUAACACUAGAAAACGCAUAAUGUCAAUGUAAUAAUCAAGAUUGAAUGUUUCAUCAUAUAAGACGAACGUGUGCAAAUUUUACUCUCAAACAAAACUAACAAAACUAAUA